CUUGCCUUCUUGCGGCACAGCCACCAAACACAACACAGCAGCAGUGGCGCAAGCAGCAGGGGCGGCACAAAAUAGAGCCAGUUGCAAAAAAUGCCCUGGCUGAGAAAGACAGCAAUAUGAACCACGCCUAAGGGACAGAGGAAUGCCAGGCCUGGGAGGGCCUGGGUAGCCUCAUCCUGGUGCCCACCACUUGGAGGCCCAUCUGCCCAUUCUCCCUUCUCUACAGGUGGUCCCACCUCAAGGCACAACAGUGGGGCCGGGGGUAAGGGAUGCUUCCAAGGGAACUACAAACCCCUCCUCUGGCCCCGCUGAAAGUCUCUGCCCAAGAGCCCUGCCAAGAAAGUCCCGGAAGCUUCCACUGUCUGACAAACCCACCCUCACUGCACACCUCGCCUGCAGCACAGGGCUUCUGUGAGGACCACAAAAUCUCCAGCUGACUUCAAUGAAGUACUCCCUAAAGCACAGAAAACACAGACGGUGAGAGCCAGCCCAGAGAGAUGCAGUUCUUGACCUUGGCCAGUGGACAGCGUGGGUAAUGAGAGGUCAUUCCCCAAACGCUUGCAGCCAUCUUCUAAACUGCAGGCAGUUUCUAUUCCUGGCACAUUUUUUCCUGAGAUCCAUUUAAUUUCCCCAGUUUCAGAUAAGGAAUGCAAUCUUUUUCAUGAAGAAUGGUAAUUUUAUUCAUUAAGGUUCUUAUUUCAGAAGUUCAAUUUCUGCUGCAUCCCACUGCACAUGGUCUGCAGGCCAUACACCAUAGCCUGUAGCGCUCCUACUCCCUUCCUCCGAAAAGUUACAGCUUUUUGGUUGGCUGAGGUGAUAACUCUCUUCUCCAACUUUUUCAUCAGCUGCUCCAACUUUUUUCCUCCAGUUCUAACUUGGCUUUUAUGGCCUGGCACUAUAAUGUUUAUCUUGAAGGCCAAGAAAAGCAAUGUUUUCCGCCAAUAUAACUAGAUUAUGUACUCUUGGCUUUUCUUGAUAUGUCUGAAUUGUUCCAUGUUACCAAGAAACUUCACGUGGUUUUACUUUAUCUAAGAGCUCUACAUUCCUCUGCUCAAGGUACUAGUCUUCUUGUUUAUACUCUCCUAUAAUAUGAGUGUACAUUCAUAACACUUGGAUAUGUUCUUUUAUCUCUAAUUGAAUUUAAGGACCCUUUCAUCAGGUUCAAUUCCAAGACUGAACAGGCUUCCCAUGAGAAGAAGCAAUUACAUUGCAGGAGAUUUUUUUUACCUUUUGGUAACUGACCUAAAAGACAAACAAUUUAUAUAUUUAUAUUUUACCAAGAUAAUUUUCUGUGUUGUCUUUAUCAAAUUUUUGAUUACUUAAGAAAACUGAGCUUUGAACAGGUUAAGGUUUUAAAAUAUUUGUAACUUUCUGUAUUGCUUUUGAAGUUUCCUGAUAAUCACUCGAGUUAAAUGAAUGGCUAUUAUUUAACAGUGACCUGUGAUUCUAUUUUGAUCUAUGGCUUUGAAUCUCUUGAUAUUUUUGGUGGGCUUCUCCUGGAUCAAAAUUCUAAAUUAAGUCCUUUUGAACUACAAUUAAUUUUGAGAUUUUCCAGUUGGGCCCUUGGAGAAUAUGCAAGAAGAUAUAUUUUAAUUUAUAGAGGUAUUAAAUGAUUAGGCUUAUUUGGUAAAUUAUAUGACAAGCAUUGUCAAAUGAGAAGUGAGGCUACAUCUUCUUUUAGUCACAUUUAUGGGUAGGUUAUUGAUAGGAAUGUUCUAAAAAUUAUAUGACAAAAUCUAAUAUAUUAUAAGUCAUAAUUUUGGUUGUUAUGUUAAAACUUCUUUAAAGUUGUAUUUAUUUGGCUGUGUUAUUGAUGUGAGUAUUCUAAAGAUUAUAGGAAAUUUAUAAGUCUGAUACUUGUGAUAUGAUGCUGUCAGUCAUGAUUAUGGUUAAUAUCUUAAAUUCCUGCAGGUAAUGGAAACAACUAAAUUUUCUUGUCGAUUGUGAACUUUUAUCAGAUUUUUAACCAUGGCUAUUCUAAGUUUUUUGGAUUCUACUCAAAAAGCAUUUGUAGUCAGUUGUUGUCCAAGUUCUUGUUAUCUGUCUAUAGAGUAGACCACAUCCCGAAUUCUUCUAUGUUCCACCAAUCCAGCCUUCUUCCAUGGAAUUACUAUAAAUGGAAAACUGUUCUGUUCCAAAAGCCCUAUAAGCUGAAACUAGAUGAAUUUUAAGAAAGCAGCCUUGUGCCUGAUGUAUGGGCCACAUAAAAAGUUUACAGUGGCUCACGCCUGUAAUCCCAGCACUUUGGGAGGCCAAGGCGGGUGAAUCACGAGGUCAGGAGAUCGAAACCAUCCUGGCUAACAUGGUGAAACCCUGUCUCUACUAAAAAAUACAAAAAAAAUUAGCCAGGUGUGGUGGCACGCACCUGUAGUCCCAGCUACUCAGGAGGCUGAGGCAGGAGAAUGGCGUGAACCUGGUCGUGCCACUGCACUCCAGCCUGGGCGACAGAGCUAGACUCUGUCUCAAAAAAAUAAAAUAAAAUAAAAUAAAAAAUAAAGUUUACCAAACCAUUUGAUGCCAUGACCAGAGACAAACUGCAAAUCAGGAUGAGAAGUUGACCUUUGCACACUAUAGACAGCUUUUUUCAAGACAUUGGAAAAGACUCCAUAGUAUAAUGAGACUCCUACACUCCUUAAGGUUACCUUUCUAACUUGGCAAGAUAAUGGAGUAAUUGAAAUUUCACAAUUACUACCUUCUGCUUGUAAGUUGACAGAAUCUGACCUAAGAGAUCCUUUGGUAUACAUUGACUAAAUAAGAAAAUGUCUGUACUAUUGCUAAUACUGCAUGCCAUCCCUGGAUAAAUUCCUCUUGGAAAGUCAAUACCAAUAUACACAAAGUAAGAAAACAGGCCACAUGGUUAAAACAGAUCUCACCUAAUUCCUUAUGAUCAUUUGAUUUAUUCAGUGGGUUACUGAUGUGGUUUGGCUGUGUCCCUACCCAAAUCUCAUCUUGAAUUGUAGCUCCCAUAAUUCCCACUUGUUAUAGGAGAGAUCCGGUGGGGGAUAAUUGAAUCAUGGGGGCGGAUUCCUCCAUGCUGCUCUGGUGGUAGUGAAUAAGUCUUAGGAGAUCUGAUGGUUUUAUAUGGGGUUUCUCCUUUGGCUUGGCUCUCAUUCUCUCUUGCCUACCACCAUGUAAGAUGUCUCUUGCUCUUCCAGCAUGAUUGUGAGUCCUCCCCGGCCAAGCGGAACUAUGAGUCAAUUAAACCUCCUUCCUUUGUAACUUACCCAGUCUCAAGUACGUCUUUAUUAGCAGCAUGAGAACAAACUAAUACAGUUGCCUUUAAGCCUAGGUUCAUGGAUAAAAACUAUUAUGCAAAUUGUAUUUUCCAUUUUUAAACUUUUUAUAUGUUACUUGUUAAAUUUUUGCAGAAGUACAACUUGUAACCAUAAUGCUAGCCCAUCACUUUGAGAUAACAGCAAGACUAUGGAACUCACAAAAUUGAACUUAAUAAUGGACUCAAGAUAGACUUAGCCCGAGAGUCACUCCUUUCAAACAUCCUUUAAAGGUCAACUGUGACUAAAAGGGAUUGACACUUACUCCAAGUUGCCAAUUGCUCCCUCCAAAAUGGACCAAGACCUGCAACCAGGACAGGCCCAUCCCAUUAUCCAGGGACAGUCAAAACCUAAUUACAGAAUGAUUGAUUAGUGAGGUGUUUGCAGAAAGAUCUUGAUCAAAAGGGAGAAAUUGUGAAAGUUCUCAGAAUCAAAAUGGAGUUAACAUGUUAAAAAAACAACAAAAAAAUCCUGGCAAGCUGAAUUGGGGAAGUUUAUGAAGAGAAGAUUCACAUGCUUGUAUACCUGAUAACAAAAACUAUCACAAAUCUCUACCAAACUACAACCUUUGCAAAGACCAUUGCAACCUUACUCAAAAAUACUUCUGCAAGGACAUCUGACCCGCAAUUGCCCAUGCAACCUCACAUUGGGGUCACCUCUAUUAUUAUUGAUCUUAGUAGCCAAGAAGAACUAACUCAAACAAUUAUGUAAUCCUUCUCACAUCUCCUGUAAAAUCUAACCUUCCUGAAUAUGCAUGUAGUUUACUAUGGCAUGCGUAUUCC
rnacentral:lncRNA from 10 species